CAUAGGUUAAUGAGGCGAACCGGGGGAACUGAAACAUCUAAGUACCCCGAGGAAAAGAAAUCAACCGAGAUUCCCCCAGUAGCGGCGAGCGAACGGGGAGCAGCCCAGAGCCUGAAUCAGUGUGUGUGUUAGUGGAAGCGUCUGGAAAGGCGCGCGAUACAGGGUGACAGCCCCGUACACAAAAAUGCACAUACUGUGAGCUCGAUGAGUAGGGCGGGACACGUGGUAUCCUGUCUGAAUAUGGGGGGACCAUCCUCCAAGGCUAAAUACUCCUGACUGACCGAUAGUGAACCAGUACCGUGAGGGAAAGGCGAAAAGAACCCCGGCGAGGGGAGUGAAAAAGAACCUGAAACCGUGUACGUACAAGCAGUGGGAGCACGCUUAGGCGUGUGACUGCGUACCUUUUGUAUAAUGGGUCAGCGACUUAUAUUCUGUAGCAAGGUUAACCGAAUAGGGGAGCCGAAGGGAAACCGAGUCUUAACUGGGCGUUAAGUUGCAGGGUAUAGACCCGAAACCCGGUGAUCUAGCCAUGGGCAGGUUGAAGGUUGGGUAACACUAACUGGAGGACCGAACCGACUAAUGUUGAAAAAUUAGCGGAUGACUUGUGGCUGGGGGUGAAAGGCCAAUCAAACCGGGAGAUAGCUGGUUCUCCCCGAAAGCUAUUUAGGUAGCGCCUCGUGAAUUCAUCUCCGGGGGUAGAGCACUGUUUCGGCAAGGGGGUCAUCCCGACUUACCAACCCGAUGCAAACUGCGAAUACCGGAGAAUGUUAUCACGGGAGACACACGGCGGGUGCUAACGUCCGUCGUGAAGAGGGAAACAACCCAGACCGCCAGCUAAGGUCCCAAAGUCAUGGUUAAGUGGGAAACGAUGUGGGAAGGCCCAGACAGCCAGGAUGUUGGCUUAGAAGCAGCCAUCAUUUAAAGAAAGCGUAAUAGCUCACUGGUCGAGUCGGCCUGCGCGGAAGAUGUAACGGGGCUAAACCAUGCACCGAAGCUGCGGCAGCGACGCUGAUGCGUUGUUGGGUAGGGGAGCGUUCUGUAAGCCUGUGAAGGUGUGCUGUGAGGCAUGCUGGAGGUAUCAGAAGUGCGAAU
rnacentral:rRNA from 1 species